GGACAAAUUCACCUUAUCGCAAAGGAAAAUACAUAUUGUUUUCAUCCAAUAUUCUAUAACAAGCAUUUUUCAGAAAUCUACCCCCUUCACGGUGCCUCAAACACUCCAGAGCAAUCAGCUGGUCGUGACGUCAGAAGGAUGACGUCAGCGGACCUGACGCGUGCCGGGUCCGCCAGUCACUUUCGCAGUUGUGAGGAGAAACCCUUGGUCCACCAAUGAGAAUGCAGCUCCCUUCAAGGCUUAGUCGCUCACCACUCACGGGCGGUGGGAGAUGACGUUCAUGCGUUCUGACGUCACACACUAGCACCAAUCAAAGAGAACGGACUCUGUGACGAAAGCACUAUGACGUAGAGCGUAUUGAUAGCCAAGCGGCAGGUAGACGGGCUAGCUGGCGUACGCACAAAUAUGGCCCUGUCCAUUGAGCGGUGCUGUGACCCACAUCCAAGUACCGGCCGAUCUAGCUCUGUUCAGAGCGCGGUUUCCGUCAGUAUAUCCCUAUCUCUUCAAGAUACAUCUGCCUAGUACAAACACCUAUGGAAGUCACAGCAAUUCAACACGGUCUACCAACUCCACCUUCACUAAAGCUAUCGGUAUUGCAAGUCUGCUUAUAAUUGACAACUUUCACGCCAAGAAGUCGACAAGACGCCUCAGUGAAUUUCAGCCAUACACUUAUAACUAUCGUGAAGCGAGGAUAAAUGUGCCACAGAAAUGUGACGGAACAGUUUACAGGCACGACGUCAUUGCAAUACAAAGACCGAGGUCCGAGGAUAACGGAUGGCGGCGGUGGCGGCCGCCGCGGUGGACGAGACGAGCACAACGGGAAGCGUCAACAGGUUUGCAGCCAGACUAAUUCCGGUAAGCAAUGACGUCACCACCCGCCCACUCACAACUUCUCCUAUCUAUAUCCUAUCUAUAUCAUAUCUCUUCUUAUCUCUCUUGUGUUUAAGCUGUUUACAGCGAACUCAAACUUUAUCGUAUGUUUAUUGUUUCGCAAUUUGAUAAGGUACCUAUCAUGAGACAAGUCCUGAACAAACCCGUCAAAUUAGUCAGCAGAGUAGAACUGCAUCUACGUGAGCGCGAAUCGGAGGGACAACGGAAAAGCGUUUGGGAACUGGAUGGCUGAGGAGGCAGGAGGAGGAAGGUGCACGAGACUCCGUGGCUCGGCCAUGUGGGGCGGGACCAUGUGGGUGGGACCAUGCUGACCCUGGGACACCACGUGGCCAUUUUCUUUGCCACAUGCGAUCAUUUAUCCUUUGUUUAAUGACGACGGUGAGAGAUGAUGUCAUGAGAUGACUGCAUAUUCUGGUACGAGACAUGUGUACACCAGGGUCAUGAGAUGAAUGUUUGUCUGCCCAGCGGUGUUUCUCACACGAAAUACAGCAGGAAAUACCUGAAUCUGUUACGGUAUGCCCCAGCCUCGACACUGACGAACUGCACAGUUGACUCGGGAAUUCAGGGCUAAAGGGGAUUAGAUCACUAUUGCACGCUGCAAAACGUGACACGAACGCCACCAUGAAUGAAGCGGCUCAUAUACACAAGUGAGUCUGGACAGUAACUUGAGUGUGAUAUUAGCCAGCUGGCGCGUGUCCACCCUUCUUCACCUGGCGCAAGACAUGAACCGCAUCUGCUGUCUGCCGCACGUCUGACUCGCCAAAGCACCUACAGAACACUCAUCAACAAACCGCUCGUAAUCAUCAAGUCUAAAUUAACCUGGAGACUGACAUGCGACGACAACCUGUACUAUUCUCACUUCUCACUUAUGGCAACGACAGGUGUUCUUUAUUCUCAAAAUAUCCAUUUCGAAUGCCAAUGGCAAAAAUAGCCUCCAAGACUGGCCAGUUUUUAUGUAAGCUACCAUAGUUAAGCUGAGCUAAAUGCAUGUUCAAACAUGUAUAUUUGUUGUAUGCCUUGUAUUUAUUUCUCUCAUGUGUAUCUCCGUAUUCAUUUGUACAGUUCAUAUGCAUCUUCAUAUAAACAAGCAAAAUCAAAUGCGCGCGCGCGCACACACACACGCACACACACACACACACACACACACACACACACACACA